UUGCUUCAGCAGCACAUAUACUAAAAUUGGAAUGAUGCAGAAGAUGAGAAGAUCAACAUGGCCCCUAUGCAAGAAUGAUAAGCAAACUUGUGAAGAGUUGCAUAUUUUU